GGGCUGCAGUAUUUUGACUGUACAAAGGUAGCAUAAUCAAUAGUCUCUUAAUUGGUGACUUGUAUGAAAGAUUGGAUGAGAUAUAUACUGUCUCUUGUUAAUUUAUAGAAAUUAAUUUUUUAGUAAAAAAGCUAAAAUAAUUUUAAAAGACGAGAAGACCCUAUAGAGUUUAAUAAUUUAUUUAAUUAUUAUUAAUAUAUAAUUUUUAAAAUUAAAAUUAAAUAAAUUAUUUUGUUGGGGUGAUAGAAAAAUUAAAUUAACUUUUUUUAAUUAUUUACAUUAAUUUAUGAUUAAAUGAUCCAUUUAUAAUGAUUAAAAGAAAAAAUUACCUUAGGGAUAACAGCGUAAUUUUUUUUUUUAGUUCAAAUAGGAAGAAAAGUUUGCGACCUCGAUGUUGGAUUAA
rnacentral:rRNA from 1 species